rnacentral:rRNA from 1 species
GAUGAACGCUGGCUACAGGCUUAACACAUGCAAGUCGAGGGGAAACGACGGGGAAGCUUGCUUCCCCGGGCGUCGACCGGCGCACGGGUGAGUAACGCGUAUCCAACCUGCCUCUGACUGAGGGAUAACCCGUCGAAAGUCGGCCUAAUACCUCAUGGUAUCGUCUGCGGGCAUCCAACGACGAUUAAAGAUUUCAUCGGUCAGGGAUGGGGAUGCGUCUGAUUAGCUUGUUGGCGGGGUAACGGCCCACCAAGGCUACGAUCAGUAGGGGUUCUGAGAGGAAGGUCCCCCACAUUGGAACUGAGACACGGUCCAAACGCCUACGGGAGGCAGCAGUGAGGAAUAUUGGUCAAUGGGCGAGAGCCUGAACCAGCCAAGUAGCGUGCAGGAAGACGGCCCUAUGGGUUGUAAACUGCUUUUAGGCGGGGAGAAAGUGAGGGACGUGUCCCUCAUUGCAGGUACCGCAUGAAUAAGGACCGGCUAAUUCCGUG